rnacentral:lncRNA from 1 species
AAAAUCUCUCCAUUAGCGCUUUCUAUCCCCCUUCCUUGUGUUUCCAGAGGAAAUAACAACUUCGCUAGCGCAGGCCAGAGGCCACGAGGUCUUCAGGAGCGGGAGGGAAACCUACUCAGCUGGGGCAAAGGGAGUCUCAUCCUCCAAGCGGACAGGAAGGAAAACGGAAAGUCAGUCCCAGCCAGGCCACUACAGCCUGAGGUCCCAGAGGGCUCCCGGCUUCCCAAGCCAGGGAAGCCGAGGUGCCAACAAGCGUUUUCUACACUGAGGGGCCCCUACGCCCACGGCCCACUCCCGGGGGGCUCCGCACUGCUGCCGGGGGCCGCGAGUGCUACCCGCCCCACAACUAAGGAGGAGCAACGGGGGCCCGGCCGGCACGGCCCGCCACGGCCCCGGGUGGCGCCGGCAGACAGCGGGACACCGCGCAGGCGCCGCGCGCCUCCGCUGGGCCGUUAUGGACAACGAUCGCCCGCGCACCCACCCACCUACCUACCUACCUACCCAGCUCCUGACGAGCUCUCUAGAGAAAGCCUCACCCUCCUUCCAGCCACGCUGCCCGCCCCACCGCGCCACACCACUCACCCCCCAACUCCCCUCACGGCACCGCUUACCCCUCUCCACCGCUCCGCGCCUCUACCCGCCCCGCCCGCCCGGCCGCGCCCCUCUAGCCUCGCGAGACGCGAGAGCCAGGGCGGGGCCGCCGCCACCGCCGCCACGUGCGCGCGCACGCACGCAGAGCUCGCCCAACGCCUUCAUUGGCCGGAGCGGGAGGGGGAGAGGGCGACAGGGAGGCGCAGAGCGCGCAUGCGUGGGAGGGGGCCCUGUUGCGCCGGCGGGAGAGGCGGGGCCCAGAUGAGCCCCGCCCCUUCCGCGCAGCAGCUGCACCCCGCCCACCCACCUCCCGUCUCCCUAGCAACCACGCUCUGGGCGGGUCUUGGCCGGGAGGGGGCGUGUCCUGCCCCGCCCCUCACCUCAGCGUGCGGGGCGGGUGCGCAACGGCCGUAA